rnacentral:lncRNA from 1 species
CUGGCAGGAGCCGUCCUCACUCCCUCUAUUGCCUCUCCAGACCCAGACUUCACCCUCAGGUCACCCUCACCUGGACUUUGGGGUGCCCCACACCCCGCCCCAGGCCCUGGCCUCUGGAAUAUUUGGAAACUUGAACUGGGCCAGAGGCUUAAGCUCACAUCUGUCUGGAGCCUCAACUUUCUCCUCUGUAAAAUGGGCUAACACUGAAAGAACCUUGCAGAAUCUCAGCAACGUCACAGAGGACAUUGUUAGCACAGCCAGCGGGCUCCUGCUGGGCUGAGUUUGUGGGUAAUCCAAGCCUCGGCAGGUACAGUUCCUCCCUCAGAAGCAAGGUCUCGCUGUGUUACCCUGGCUGGAGUGCAGUGGCUACUUACAGGCAUGAUCAUAGCAUACUGCAGCCUCGAACUCCUGGACUAGAGCAGUUCUCCUGCCUCAGCCUCCAGAGCAGCUGGGACUGCAGACACGCACCACAGAGCCCAGCCUGAGUCAUUUUGAUUCUGUAACUGGCUUCCUCUCGGCGGGCAGGCUCACACCCUCCACCCCCAGCUGGAGAUGGAAGGAGGAUGCUCACCGCCCAUUCCUCAUGCAGGCCAUCGAUGGAAAUGUCAGACAGUGCGAGUCCACGCCUGAACACUUCUGGGGUCCGCUCUGGGACUGACACUGGCAGAUCCAUCGGUGAGCUCCCGCCUGCCACCUCUGGGCCUGCAUUGCGGUGAUAGGGCCAAGGGCCUGGGCCUUCAAUUCUCCAGACUUGCCAAAAUGCUCAGCGCAGGCCUCGUCGGCAACUGCAGACAAGCAGAGGCAGCACCUGGGCUCUGCCUGUGCCUGGCACAGUGAAGCGAGGGUGGGGGCAGGAAUGAGGGUCCUCUCCAUGCAAGGGGGGAAGAUAGAAGAACAAAAUUUCACCCUAAUGUAGUGUCUUUAGACCGUGCAAUGUUGUGCUCCUGUUAGUCUGAUAUCAGGGGCUUGCAGCCUGGCAAAGGAAAAAAAACAGGCUGAGGCACAUGAUAGAAGACAGGCAGGGAUGCCACAAUCAUAACCAUGGCAAAGACCAGGAUCAGAAAGGCCCACCAUCUCUGACCCCAAAUCCCUGGGCAGAUGGUUCCAGAACUCAGAAUUUUCCCAGUUGUAGAAAGAUGGGGCCAGGUGCAGUGGCUCACGCCUGUAAUCCCAGCAUUUUGGGAGUACAAGGUGGGCGGAUCACCUGAGGUCAGGAGUUCGAGACCAGCCUGGCCAACAUGGUGAAACCCUGUCUCUACUAAAAAAAAAAAAAAAAAUUAGCCGGGCGUGGCGAUGCAUGCCUGUAAUCCCAGCUACUCGGGAGGCUGAGCCAGGAGAAUUGCUUGAACCCGGGAGGCGGAGGUUGCAGUGAGCCAAGAUCGCGCCACUACACUCCAGUCCGGGCGACAGAGCAAGAGUCCAUUCCCCCACCACCAAAAAAAAAAAAAAAAGAAAGAAA